rfam:Oryza glumipatula chromosome 9, whole genome shotgun sequence.
AAAAAGCAAAACCUGAAUUUUCGUGUCCAGCUUUGACUGUCCGUCUUAUAUAAAAUUUUUUUAUAAUUCGUAUUUUCAUUGUUGUUAGAUGAUAAAACAUGAUUAAUAUUUUGUGCGUGACUUGUCUUUUUAUUUUUUUCAAAUUUUUUUCAAAUAAGACGAACGGUCAAACAUUGGGCACGGAAACCAGGGUUUGUCUUUUU